rnacentral:lncRNA from 12 species
ACCUUAAGGCCCAGUUUUGAACCAUCCUCUGGAUUCAAAUGUUCACAUGAUUAUGUAUUAUUCUUCGGUUUUUGAUCUUUCUGGGUCCUGGAGAAGCGAUGCUGGCCGACAGUCAGCCCAGGCUGGUCCCUGACACCAGACUCAAGAAGACUUAACACUUGCGGCAUAGAAGCCACCAAGUCAG